rnacentral:rRNA from 1 species
UACGAAGGGGGGCUAGCGUUGCUCGGAUUUACUGGGCGUAAAGCGCACGUAGGCGGAUUGGUCAGUUAGGGGGUGAAAUCCUGGAGCUCAACUCCAGAACUGCCUUUAAUACUGCCAGUCUCGAGUCCGGAAGAGGUAAGUGGAACUCCUAAGUGUAGAGGUGGAAUUCGUAGAUAUUUAGGAAGAACACCAGUGGCGAA